rnacentral:rRNA from 1 species
GCGUUAAGUUGCAGGGUAUAGACCCGAAACCCGGUGAUCUAGCCAUGGGCAGGUUGAAGGUUGGGUAACACUAACUGGAGGACCGAACCGACUAAUGUUGAAAAAUUAGCGGAUGACCUGUGGCUGGGGGUGAAAGGCCAAUCAAACCGGGAGAUAGCUGGUUCUCCCCGAAAGCUAUUUAGGUAGCGCCUCGUGAAUUCAUCUCCGGGGGUAGAGCACUGUUUCGGCUAGGGGGCCAUCCCGGCUUACCAACCCGAUGCAAACUGCGAAUACCGGAGAAUGUUAUCACGGGAGACACACGGCGGGUGCUAACGUCCGUCGUGAAGAGGGAAACAACCCAGACCGCCAGCUAAGGUCCCAAAGUCAUGGUUAAGUGGGAAACGAUGUGGGAAGGCCCAGACAGCCAGGAUGUUGGCUUAGAAGCAGCCAUCAUUUAAAGAAAGCGUAAUAGCUCACUGGUCGAGUCGGCCUGCGCGGAAGAUGUAACGGGGCUAAACCAUGCACCGAAGCUGCGGCAGCGACACUGUGUGUUGUUGGGUAGGGGAGCGUUCUGUAAGCCUGUGAAGGUGUGUCGUGAGGCAUGCUGGAGGUAUCAGAAGUGCGAAUGCUGACAUAAGUAACGAUAAAGCGGGUGAAAAGCCCGCUCGCCGGAAGACCAAGGGUUCCUGUCCAACGUUAAUCGGGGCAGGGUGAGUCGACCCCUAAGGCGAGGCCGAAAGGCGUAGUCGAUGGGAAACGGGUUAAUAUUCCCGUACUUGGUGUUACUGCGAAGGGGGGACGGAGAAGGCUAUGUUGGCCGGG